rnacentral:rRNA from 1 species
UUGAGUUUGAUCCUGGCUCAGGACGAACGCUGGCGGCGUGCUUAACACAUGCAAGUCGAACGGAGGUAGCAAUACCUCAGUGGCGCACGGGUGCGUAACACGUGAGAAAUUUGUCCGUCGGCGGGGGAUAGCCGGCCCAACGGCCGGGUAAUACCGCGUACGACCUUCGGGGGGCAUCCUCUGGAGGUGAAAGCCGCAAGGCGCCGAUGGAGAAUCUCGCGGCCUAUCAGCUAGUUGGUGAGGUAAUGGCUCACCAAGGCAACGACGGGUAGCUGGUCCGAGAGGAUGACCAGCCACAUUGGGACUGAGACACGGCCCAGACUCCUACGGGAGGCAGCAGUGGGGAAUAUUGCGCAAUGGGCGAAAGCCUGACGCAGCGACGCCGCGUGUGGGAUGAAGGUCUUCGGAUUGUAAACCACUGUCGGGGGGGACGAACUCAAUGACGGUACCCCCAAAGGAAGCACCGGCUAACUCUGUGCCAGCAGCCGCGGUAAUACAGAGGGUGCGAGCGUUGUCCGGAAUCACUGGGCGUAAAGGGCGCGUAGGCGGCCCGAUAAGUAGGGGGUGAAAUCUUGCGGCUUAACCGCAAGGCUGCCUCCUAGACUGUCGGGCUCGAGCACGGCAGAGGCUGGUGGAAUUCCCGGUGUAGCGGUGGAAUGCGUAGAGAUCGGGAAGAACAUCGGUGGCGAAGGCGGCCAGCUGGGCCGUUG